rnacentral:rRNA from 1 species
CCUACGGGAGGCAGCAGUGAGGAAUAUUGGUCAAUGGGCGCGAGCCUGAACCAGCCAAGUCGCGUGAGGGAAGACGGUCCUAUGGAUUGUAAACCUCUUUUGUCGGGGAGCAAAAGACGCCACGCGUGGCGUUCCGAGAGUACCCGAAGAAAAAGCAUCGGCUAACUCCGUGCCAGCAGACGCGGUAAUACGGAGGAUGCGAGCGUUAUCCGGAUUUAUUGGGUUUAAAGGGUGCGCAGGCGGAAGAUCAAGUCAGCGGUAAAAUUGAGGGGCUCAACCUCUUCGAGGCGUUGAAACUGGUUUUCUUGAGUGAGCGAGAAGUAUGCGGAAUGCGUGGUGGAGCGGUGAAAUGCAUA